UCCAUUUCAUUGCAUCCUGGCCAAUAUACUAUGAUAAAGUAUCUCCCGUCAAAGUCAUCAUGAAUAGCUUCAUACGGAUUUUCUCAUCCCUUCCGACUCCUACCAGCUUGUCACAAUACAUUCUCAAGUGAACCCUGGGAUUACCUAUAAUGUCGAACAUCUCGAACUUGGGAGGUUUGUACCCCUCCGGGAGCUCAACAUCUGGCUGUACACAGAGAUCUUCGUAAUUCAACCCUUCAACACCUUUGUUACCUUCGAAGCCUUGGACCCAACUAGUCAAUUUCUUGAUCUCAGCGGUCAAAUUCUGGAUGAGGGAACCCUUAUCAUCUGAUUCGGGUGAACUUGUGAUUGGCUGAGUGUAGUGGGGUAUAG
rnacentral:lncRNA from 1 species